GACGAACGCUGGCGGCGUGCUUAACACAUGCAAGUCGAACGGUAAGGCCCUUCGGGGUACACGAGUGGCGAACGGGUGAGUAACACGUGGGUGAUCUGCCCUGCACUUCGGGAUAAGCCUGGGAAACUGGGUCUAAUACCGGAUAGGACUCCUGGCUUCAUGGUUGGGGGUGGAAAGCUUUUGCGGUGUGGGAUGGGCCCGCGGCCUAUCAGCUUGUUGGGGGGGGAAUGGCCUACCAAGGCGACGACGGGUAGCCGGCCUGAGAGGGUGACCGGUCACACUGGGACUGAGAUACGGCCCAGACUCCUACGGGAGGCAGCAGUGGGGAAUAUUGCACAAUGGGCGCAAGCCUGAUGCAGCGACGCCGCGUGAGGGAUGACGGCCUUCGGGUUGUAAACCUCUUUCAGCUAUGACGAAGCGCAAGUGUCGGUAGUAGCAGAAGAAGGACCGGCCAACUACGUGCCAGCCGCCGCAGUAA
rnacentral:rRNA from 1 species